rnacentral:rRNA from 1 species
CCUACGGGAGGCAGCAGUGGGGAAUAUUGGACAAUGGGCGAAAGCCUGAUCCAGCAAUGCCGCGUGAGUGAUGAAGGCCUUAGGGUUGUAAAGCUCUUUUACCUAGGGAUGAUAAUGACAGUACCUGGAGAAUAAGCUCCGGCUAACUCCGUGCCAGCAGCCGCGGUAAUACGGAGGGAGCUAGCGUUGUUCGGAAUUACUGGGCGUAAAGCGUACGUAGGCGGUUAUUCAAGUCAGAGGUGAAAGCCUGGAGCUCAACUCCAGAACUGCCUUUGAAACUAGAUAGCUAGAAUCUUGGAGAGGUGAGUGGAAUUCCGAGUGUAGAGGUGAAAUUCGUAGAUAUUCGGAAGAACACCAGUGGCGAAGGCGACUCACUGGACAAGUAUUGACGCUGAGGUACGAAAGCGUGGGGAGCAAACAGGAUUAGAUACCCUGGUAGUCCACGCCGUAAACGAUGAUAACUAGCUGUUCGGGCUCUACGAGCUUGAGUGGCGCAGCUAACGCAUUAAGUUAUCCGCCUGGGGAGUACGGUCGCAAGAUUAAAACUUAAAGUAGUUAAGUUGGCGUUGNGAGNGCGACGACGACGACGAGAGGAGGAG